GAUCUCGUAGCUCAGUUGGUAGAGCAUCCCGAUUUUAUCGGGAGGGUCCUGGGUUCGAAAUCAAACUUGCUAA
rnacentral:tRNA from 1 species